rnacentral:lncRNA from 1 species
GUUUUAACAUGUAGACAUGAUAGAUAGCUGUGAAUUUUUGUUGUCAUUUUCAAAAAGGUGUUUGCUAAAAUGUGCAUGUACAUGUAUAACAUGUAUAAUCAGUGUACAUGUAUAUGUUACAGUGAAUUUGUAUAUUCAGGGAUUAUGUAGAAUCCCUGAUUUUUCAGGGAAUAUGUAGAAUCACUAAAAUCAUUAGAAAUUAUAUACAAUCCCUGAAAAUGACCAGUGAUUUUACAUAAUCACUGAACAUUUUAAUAAUUAUUCUACAAAUGCCCUAAUAUUUUUUUCAGGGAUUAUGAAUAAUUUAAGGAUCCUUUGUUUGAUAAAAAAGAAAACUACAUAUAGACUAAUCUUCAUUUUUUACGUUCAUAGUUUAGUUUAAACAUAUUUUAUUUGCUGAAUUAAAGCAAAAUGGAUCAGACACAAGUAAAUCAUACUUUCAUAUUCCUUGUAGAUAAAAUAAUUUUGCUUUUAAACACAGAGGAUGAUCUUAAAGAUACAACCAACUGAAGGUUAAGAGAUAAAGUUGAAGACUUUCAAAAUUAAUAUUAUCAAGAUUCACACAUGAUUCACUUUAAAGCGAUAACUUUACAUGUAUUGUUUGUUUAUUAAAAGCCAGAGUCCAAUGGAUAUUCAUGUUCUAUUUGUAAAUCCACAGAGCAUGUUAUUUGUGGUACAUGGAAAACAAAUCGUGAAGACGAUUAUGGAAGAUCUGGUUUUUGUUUUGUUUUUGUUCAACUUUAAAUGAACAAGAAAUUUAAACAGAGAGAACUUGCGCAUCUAAAUGUAUAGAAAAACUAAGGCUUGACAAUUAGAACAAAAGUUAAGAGGAAACUGGCAUUUGGUGUAAUAUUCUCUUAGCAUGAUUCCACAGGGUAAAAAAAGAAAGGGGAUACCAAAAAACUUAAUGAUAUAUUUGUUCACCAAAAGUCUGAAAAAAGGAUAUCGCCUGGCCAAAAACAUGGUUUCUUGCUCGAACCAGUUCGUGUUGCUAAAUUCCCUUUUUGGGGGGUACUACAGAUGUUUUUACUGAACACUUUAUUUCUCUUAAGCGGGUC